rnacentral:rRNA from 1 species
GGAUCCAGACUUUGAUCCUGGCUCAGGAUGAACGCUGGCGGCAUGCCUAAUACAUGCAAGUCGAACGGAGAAGCCUAACAGAAGAUGCUUGCAUCGGAAGAUAGAUACUUCUCAGUGGCGAACGGGUGAGUAACACGUAGGUAACCUGCCCAUGUGCCCGGGAUAAUUUCUGGAAACGGAAACUAAAACUGGAUAGGUAAUAGAGAAGCAUUUCUGUAUUAUUAAAGAAGCCUCAAAGCUUUGAACAUGGAUGGACCUGCGGUGCAUUAGCUAGUUGGUAAGGUAACGGCCUACCAAGGCGACGAUGCAUAGCCGACCUGAGAGGGCGAACGGCCACAUUGGGACUGAGACACGGCCCAAACUCCUACGGGAGGCAGCAGUAGGGAAUUUUCGUCAAUGGGGGGAACCCUGAACGAGCAAUGCCGCGUGAGUGAAGACGGUCUUCGGAUUGUAAAGCUCUGUUGUGAGAGAAAAAGAAUAUAUAUAGGAAAUGAUAUGUAUUUGAUGGUAUCUCACCAGAAAGUCACGGCUAACUACGUGCCAGCAGCCGCGGUAAUACGUAGGUGGCGAGCGUUAUCCGGAAUGAUUGGGCGUAAAUGGUACGUAGGCGGCAUGAUAAGUCUGGAGUGAAAGGCUACAGCUCAACUGUAGUAUGCUCUGGAAACUGUCAAGCUAGAGUGCAGAAGAGGGCAAUGGAACUCCAUGUGUAGCGGUAAAAUGCGUAGAUAUAUGGAAGAACACCGGUGGCGAAGGCGGUUGCCUGGUCUGAAACUGACGCUGAAGUACGAAAGCGUGGGGAGCAAAUAGGAUUAGAUACCCUAGUAGUCCACGCCGUAAACGAUGAGAACUAGGUGUUGGGGGAAUAACUCAGUGCCGCAGUUAACGCAAUAAGUUCUCCGCCUGGGGAGUAUGCACGCAAGUGUGCAACUCAGGGGAA